CUCCCGGGCGCCGGGCUCCUGCCGGACUGGACGGACAGACCGACCGACGCGGGCCACCGGGCUCUCCUCGCCGCCGGCGCGGCGGGCGCGGGGCCGCGCGGGGACGCCUGAUCUCUGCAGCGCGGGCGAGUGGCCGCGCGGAGCGGAACCAGCCAAAGGCGCCCGGACGCCUGCAGGUGAGAGUGAUUUCCCAGCGAUUGCUUCGGCCGGUACAACCAGAGAACAGGAUUCUUUUCUUUUUGGCUGCUAAAUGCCUCUGUAUUCCACACUUUCCAGUGAGGGGAGAAGGCUGGAGCUUCUUGGAUGAUGAUGGAUAUUCCGCUGGGCAGGAUGAGGGCAGAGUGUGUGACAUCAACACCACAAGGAGCAUGAAGAGUGAGUGUUUCACAGACUUGUGUUGACUGAUGCGGAAGCACUGGAGACCAUUGGAUCAGCAUCUCCCAGGAUUGAGGAAACCGUCAUUUGAAGGUCAGACAUUUUAGGUCCAUGCAGAGUGAGACUAGAGGGGCAAUUACAUGCCUUGGAUUUUGGAGAUGGGGUGGUGGCUCCAGAAAGGCAAGACAUCAUGACAGAAAAAGAAGCACUGUGACUGUAUAGGUGGAGUUGGUCAUUAACUAUGGCUGGCAUAUCUAUAUUCAAUUUCUCAGCUUGGGAUUGUUUUAUAAAUACUUAUAGAUAUUAAGGAGAUCAAACCAAUCAAUCCUAAAGGAAAUCAAUCCUAAAUAUUCAUGGGAAGAACUGAUGCUGAAGUUGAAGCUCCAGUACUUUAGUCACCUGAUGUGAAGAGCCGACUCAUUGGAAAAGAUCCUGAUUCUGUGGAAGAUUAAAGAUCAAAAGAGAAGAGGAUGGUAGAGGAUGGUUAGAUAGUAUCACUAACUCAGUGGACAUGAAUUUGAGCAAGUCCCAGGAGAUAGUGAAGGACAGGG
rnacentral:lncRNA from 1 species